UCAAUAAUAUUUACUCCUAAAGCACUGAGUGGAGGAACAAACACUGGCAGCUUGCAGAUCUCGACGUUAACAGCAAAUUUUACCUUUAUUCAGCAUUCUUCGAUCCAGAAACAGAUGGUCAGACCUCUAUCAGGCUUCUUGGUGUAUAUAGAAGCAGAUUUCCAGCCUUUGCUUGGUGCCAUGUUUGGUUCAGCCCAGAGGCUCCACCACUCCUUGUGAAAGUAACCAACAAAGACUACCUUGACUAUCAAAGCAGAAGCAGUGGCCGUCAGAUGCCCUUCCUGCUAAGGUGCCCACUGCCACCAAAUACAACAGAUAUCCCUUUCGCCGUCUCCCUCACCGCAAAGCCCUGUGGAGAAGCCACCAAUCUGUUGAAGGUGUGGAGCGACUUACAUGUGACAUAUUUGUUUGCACGUGUGUGUGUGUGUGUGUGUGUGUGUGUGUGUGUGUGUGUGUGUGUGUGUGUGUGUGUGUGUAUUGUGAGCCUCGGGAAGACAGUAGUUGUGUGAUGAACUGAUAGGCAGCAUGUGUAACUGAGCAGCUACAUAUGAUGAGAUGUAUCUGCUUGGUAUAUGUUUUGCAUGAUACUUUCAGUGCCUUACACGUAAGUGGAAACUUUACCAGUGAAGUAGAACUUAAUAUGACAUAUAAGGUUAAGGAUCGGUAGACCGCAGAUUUUUGAUGGGAGAUUUGCGGCUGUGACGGACAGAUGCGAUAUUUAGGCUGGAGAGUACGGAGGCCUCCUAUCGACUCUGUGCCCAGGCAGAAUGAAGCAGCGAAUCAUAUAUCUUAUAACUAUACCUAACACAGUUAUGUGAGUAGGCGGUCUGGACUACGGUGAUCACUUGUACUUUAGUGUCAUGUGUCAUAGUUUGUGGAGAAGAACUACACCUAGCGGCGACCAGCCAUGGAGGGAAUGACUUACAUGAGGGCAUCCAAACGCAAAACAUGAAAAAAAAACUUUCGGCAGAGGACUUAGAAAGCCACAUUUCUUCCAAAAUAUCCGUCGGCUAGGAAGUUUCACGUGUUAGUCUUUGUAUUGACCGAUGCCAAGCACUGUUCCCGUCUAUGCGCACGUUUAUGUGUCCUACAUAAACAUUGUAUUGCUUGCAUUUGGAAGCCAUUUUUUUUUUGAUAAGAUAUAAAAGUCAGGAAAAUAGUAAUUACAUAUUUUUUCUUUUUCCCCAAAAAAA